rnacentral:rRNA from 1 species
UGCCAGCAGCCGCGGUAAUACGGAGGAUGCAAGCGUUAUCCGGAAUGAUUGGGCGUAAAGGGUCCGCAGGUGGCAUUGUAAGUCUGCUGUUAAAGAGUUUGGCUCAACCAAAUAAAAGCAGUGGAAACUACAAAGCUAGAGUGUGGUCGGGGCAGAGGGAAUUCCUGGUGUAGCGGUGAAAUGCGUAGAUAUCAGGAAGAACACCGGUGGCGAAGGCGCUCUGCUAGGCCAAGACUGACACUGAGGGACGAAAGCUAGGGGAGCGAAUGGGAUUAGAUACCCCAGUAGUCCUAGCCGUAAACGAUGGAUACUAGGCGUAGCUCGUAUCGACCCGAGCUGUGCCGUAGCUAACGCGUUAAGUAUCCCGCCUGGGGAGUACGCAGGCAACUGUGAAACUCAAAGGAAUUGACGGGGGCCCGCACAAGCGGUGGAGUAUGUGGUUUAAUUCGAUGCAACGCGAAGAACCUUACCAAGGCUUGACAUGUCACGAAUUCCGUUGAAAGAUGGAAGUGCCUUCGGGAGCGUGAACACAGGUGGUGCAUGGCUGUCGUCAGCUCGUGUCGUG